AUCGUUUACCGUGAAAAAAUUAGAGUGUUCAAAGCAGGCAGAUCCAAUUCUCUGCCACCGAAUACAUUAGCAUGGGAUAAUGGAAUAGGACCCUGUCCUCCUAUUUUCAGUUGGUUUUGGCAGCGCGAGGACUAGGGUAAUGAUUAAUAGGGAUAGUUGGGGGCAUUAAUAUUUAAUUGUCAGAGGUGAAAUUCUUGGAUUUAUGAAAGAUUAACUUCUGCGAAAGCAUCUGCCAAGGAUGUUUUCAUUAAUCAAGAACGAAAGUUAGGGGAUCGAAGACGAUCAGAUACCGUCGUAGUCUUAACCAUAAACGAUGCCGACCAGCGAUUAGGAGACGUUGAAUACAAAACACCACCAUCGGUGCGGCUGUUCUUGGCGUCGGUUUCGGCCGGCGCGGGGAUGGCUUAGCCCGGUGGCACCGGUGAAUGACUCCCUAGCAGCU
rnacentral:rRNA from 1 species